rnacentral:rRNA from 1 species
AUGCCUCUUCCUCUACCUCUCGGACGACGCCUAGCUACGGCGCUCAAUGGCCGCCCGUGCGACAUCCUGCAUCUGGCGCGGGAGCGUGUGGUGGUGACGAGCCGAGCCGUCUUUGUGGCGGCGUCCGGACGGGGCCGGGCGCAAGGCGGAGCUGCGGCCGGCGACCCGGCACCAGCGCAUGCCCGGCGGUGGGACCAUCUUCGCCGUGGCCGGUGGGGGGUUGGGCGGCAGCAAGCGGUGCAGCGAGGGGAGGCGCACGGGCGAGAGGGGUGGGGCUCUUGCUAG